UAAAAUAGAAUUAAAUAAAAUUAAUUUAAAAUAAAAUGACGGUACAAUGCAAUAUGGUUAUCCGACUAACUUCGCUUCCGACACCAUUUCCGAUUAAAAUCUCCCAACCAGAUCAAACAAACCAAAGUUCCUGAUUACAACUCAAAAUUCAAACUUGACGGCCGGCUGUAAACAAAUGACCGUUUUGCCCUUCAUAAGCUAAAGAGCGCACCACGCGAU
rnacentral:lncRNA from 1 species